rnacentral:rRNA from 1 species
GAUGAACGCUGGCGGCGUGCCUAAUACAUGCAAGUCGAGCGAACAGACAAGGAGCUUGCUCCUUUGACGUUAGCGGCGGACGGGUGAGUAACACGUGGAUAACCUACCUAUAAGACUGGGAUAACUUCGGGAAACCGGGGCUAAUGCCGGAUAAUAUUUAGAACCGCAUGGUUCUAAAGUGAAAGAUGGUCUUGCUAUCACUUAUAGAUGGAUCCGCGCUGCAUUAGCUAGUUGGUAAGGUAACGGCUUACCAAGGCAACGAUACGUAGCCGACCUGAGAGGGUGAUCGGCCACACUGGAACUGAGACACGGUCCAGACUCCUACGGGAGGCAGCAGUAGGGAAUCUUCCGCAAUGGGCGGAAGCCUGACGGAGCAACGCCGCGUGAGUGAUGAAGGUCUUCGGAUCGUAAAACUCUGUUAUUAGGGAAGAACAUAUGUGUAAGUAACUGUGCACGUCUUGACGGUACCUAAUCAGAAAGCCACGGCUAACUACGUG